UAUAUAUUCCCUGAGGAAUAUCGUCGACAGCCCAUAUUCGCUGACCACUAGGAAAGAGCAUUGUGCGUGUCUUCAAAUUUAUCCGGCUCUCAAGAUGAAGCACGCUCCAGUCAUCGUCUUGAUUCUUGGAUUAACCGUGUUCAUGCACACCAGCUGUUUAGCAGGGGAUGUCCUUCCAGAUUACUACAUCGACGAAAAUGCAGAAGGAAGCGGUUGUCCUGAUUGGGUGAAGUGCAGCGACAGUUGCUCGAGUCAGGGCUACCAUGGCGGCAUUUGCACAACACCAUCUGAACACAAAUGCUCGUGCCUUAUUCAUGUUUAUUAACUCAUGUGUUGCAUUUGCCUGUCUUCUUUUUGUUUGUUGCCCUUCACUUGCACAAUCUUCGAUAAGCGAUGUCAAUAAAAAAGAUGUCAAUAAAGUGCACUUAAUCUACGGUCCA